rnacentral:rRNA from 1 species
UAGGGUGGUUUUAGCAGAGGGGCUCACCUGUUCCCAUUCCGAACACAGAAGUUAAGCCCUCUAGCGCCGAUGGUACUGCAACACGCGGGAGAGUAGGUCGCCGCCAGUUUUUUUUAUCCCCACACAUUUUUUUGUGUGGGGAUUUUUUUUG